UACGUAGGGUGCAAGCGUUGUCCGGAAUUAUUGGGCGUAAAGAGCUCGUAGGCGGUCUGUCGCGUCGGCUGUGAAAACCCGGGGCUCAACCCCGGGCCUGCAGUCGAUACGGGCAGACUAGAGUGCGGUAGGGGAGACUGGAAUUCCUGGUGUAGCGGUGAAAUGCGCAGAUAUCAGGAGGAACACCGGUGGCGAAGGCGGGUCCCUGGACAACUUCUGACGCUGAGGCACGAAAGCUAGGGGAGCAAACAGG
rnacentral:rRNA from 1 species